GGUGAUUCAAAUUCUAUUAGGGGUCACCUUUAGCUAAGUAUUGUCGUGACUAUAGAAUAUAUGAUAAGGCCACAGUGGUUGGUACGGCCGUGGUCAUAGAUCAUACCGUGGUUUGGCAAGCCAAAAAUUUGCCUAAGAAAAUUAUCGUUAUCUAUAUCUGAUUUAGUCACUCUACAUGGGUAGUCAAAAAUCUAUAUCUACCCUGAGAGAUGGAAGUUGGAACGAUUUCGCAAAGCAUGACAUAAAAAUAUGAGUAUUUCAUAAUUUAUUUGAUUUUCUCUAUUGUCAAGUAUGAUGUUUUAUAUUAAUUGUUGUGAUUAUGACAUGUUUCCUUUAAUAAAUAAAAUUAUUUUCAUGAAGUAAGAUAGGAC
rnacentral:lncRNA from 1 species